AGGUUCUGAUUACCCAGAAAGCCCUCUGAUGAUUUUUUCACAAUGGGUACCAGCCAAUGCCUGCAAUCCGCUGGUUAAUGGGAAAGACUGGUAUGACCGAUUCCAUUAUAGUAACAUAAUUUUGUUCCGGCCUGACCUGAUAGACAUGUGAAUCAUGCAUUUUGUUAUGAGGGAGUGUGGUCCUGAACCCCAACCUGCAGCGGUUACCAAGCAACGCUGACCACACUUCCUUGGAUUGGCUCCCUGCCCGACGCAGCCUACUGACGUCAUCGUUCCGAGACGAGUGCAUUCGGUCUGUCGGACGGGGCGCGGGCGGCAGCGCGGGACAGCGGUUACCAAGCAACGCUGACCACACUUCCUUGGAUUGGCUCCCUGCCCGACGCAGCCUACUGACGUCAUCGUUCCGAGACGAGUGCUUUCGGUCUGUCGGACGGGGCGCGGGCGGCAGCGCGGGACAGGGAAAAGAAAAGCAGAAUUCAUCAUGUUGCCAGUAUUGCAAGAGUACAGUUGGAACAUACAUCAAUGGACCACAUAUACAAGUAUAGCCAUACAGUAAGGGUCUAGAGCUGAAUAAAAAUGA